AGCCAAAGAGCGGAAGCAGGCGUGGGAAGCCCGGGUGCCGACGGUCUCGUUUACCUAGCAGCUCGGCUAGUCGGGCACUAGUAGUGCGCUUCCUCGCGGCUGUCGUAAGUCCCACGCUGUUGACUGUGACACCGAUCUCCGAUUCUGUCCUCGAGGCACUAAAGAUGUGGCGAAGGCCCGAAGUGAGGCCGCUGCCACUGCACUUUGUCCUGCGACUCCCCAAGGACUGGCCGAGGAAUGGCGGGCUAGCCACUUCCCAGUCCUGUCCCUACGGGAUCUGAAAAGACUCGGCAUCCCGGGAUCUGGAGGGUCACUUCCCUCGCUGCAUCCCCAUUGUGCAACUGCCAGUCUCAAAAUUGAUGUAGGUUAAUCUCCUGGAGAAACUAGAGGCAGCCAAGGAGGAUGCUGUUGCAAGAGAUUCCAGGAAAAGAUAAUGAUAAUGUGGACUUGGAAGAUGGCAGAGGAGUUGCAGAAAAGUGACCAGAUUUUAGAGAUGUCCAGCUCCAACCUGGUUUCAUAGACAUGGUAAUACUGGAACAACCUCUUCUCCAAGAUUCUCAGGCAGUCAGAGGCCCUGAGAAGAGAGGAUCAGAAUAAAGAUUGAUUUCCUCAUUGAUGUGAAUUUUGUCACAACCACCAUCUUUGGAAUUCAGAUGUUACUAUGAAGUAUUAAGAUCUUCCUCUUUAGUUUUCUGAAACUUUACAUGAACUGUCAAGGUAUGAUCUGGAGUCUUUCAGUUUGUGUUUGUAUUUAUUUUAAAUAGCUCAUGGGCCCUUUCACUGGCAGUUUUAUUUCUUCGAUUGAUAAUAAGGUAUUUUAAGGCUGGGUGUGGUGGCUCACGCCUGUAAUCCCAGCACUUUGGGAGGCCGAGGCGGGCGGAUCAUGAGGUCAGGAGCUUGAGACCAGCCUGGCCAACACGGUGAAACCCCGUCUCUACUAAAAACACAAAAAUUAGUUGGGCAUGGUGGUGUGCGCCUGUAAUCCCAGCUACUGGGGAGCGGGGCAGGAGAAUGGCUUGAACCCAAAAGGUGGAGGUUGCAGUAAGCCGAGAUCGUGCCACUGCACUCCAGCCUGGGCGACAAGUAAGACUCCGUCUCAAAAAAAAUGAAAAAAAGAGAUUUUAUUCUGUUAUUCUUUGUAUAUUCCCUCUCUAUCCAUUCCCACCAUUCUCUCCUUCUGGAACGCCUCUGCAGUUUUCCUCAAAUGUGUAGUGAUUCUUGGUUGUGUCCUUAGGUUUACAUUUUUAGUUACCUGCUAAUCUGCCUGUCUGUCUGUCUGUGAGUGCUUAUCUGUGUAUUGUGUUCUGCUUCCUGUGGUUACAGAGGAGAGGUAGGACAUACCACCAAGCUAAGGGGGUCAUCAGCUCAUCUUCUGGGCAUGGGAACCCCCACUUUCUUUUGGUGGUAUAUAUGCCUGCUGAGUACUCCCGGCUUGCAAUACCCAAGUGUUCUCAUUCACUGGAUAUUGCUUUUGCGGCUUGCUGCAUAGCACAAGUGGAAGAAUGAAGGGAGGAACUGCCUAAUUGUUCCUACUAUUGUAACAUUACAAAAAUCACACUGAAUAUUGACUGGGGACUGCCUCUUGUUCCCCAUAUCUGCUUUUCCUAAGCUUGGAAAGGAAGAAACCUGGACAAACGUAUUUGUUUAUAUUAUCAAUUUGAUCCAAUACUCCUGUAGACAUGUUCAAACAUUUUUAACAGAUAUACUACUUUUCAAAUAAAAUGUUAUGUAGAGGAUCAAUAUAUUAGGUAAAAGCAAAACUGAUCUGCUUGAAGCAGAGGAGGCAGCC
ensembl:lncRNA